CCUGCACCUGCCGGCGACCGGCGCACGGGUGAGUAACACGUAUGGAACCUGCCCGCCACAGGGGGAUAACCCGGGGAAACCCGGCCUAAUACCCCAUGCCGCCCGGACCGGGCAUCCGGUCCGGGCGAAAGGAGGAAUCCGGUGGCGGCUGGGCAUGCGGCGCAUUAGCUUGACGGCGGGGUAGCGGCCCACCGUGGCGACGAUGCGUAGGGGUUCUGAGAGGAAGGUCCCCCACACUGGUACUGAGACACGGACCAGACUCCUACGGGAGGCAGCAG
rnacentral:rRNA from 1 species